GGCAAACAACCAACAGGCAGUCCCCAGUUUCAUCUCCAUUUCAAGUUUCAACAAUCUGAGACAAUUAGGUAAAGUACCCACCUUUUCUUCUUGUUGCUUUUUUGUUUCUUGUUUGCUACUGGUCCAAGUUCUCUGUAAUUGGUUCAACAAAGCCAAAAACCCAAAUGAUAGACUCAUUCCGUUGAUGGGAAUUCUUAGAUUUUAUUAGUAGAAAGUUGCUGGUUUGCUGCUGCUGAUUUUAUUCUGCAGAGAUAUGGCUGCUUUUUCUGUUGUUUGUAAUAAUGGGUUAUUGAUUAGUAAAGAGAACUUGGGGGUUCGUAGUGGAAAGGCCAAGUCUUUGAGGAGAUACACAAGUGUUUGUUAUAAUUCAGUUCUUAUAGGCUCGGUGGGAAUUUACAACAUUGGCAAUUCCCAACAUUUUAUUCUUUCUAGGAAUAAAUUUAGGUCAGUUUAUGAUGGAAAAAGUGAAGUUCCCUUCUUGAGGUUUUGUGUUUCUUUUAAGUCUCGACAUGGAUUAUGUUGUCAUAAUAAUAUUGGGCCAUCGAUGACAGAAGACACAGGAAAUGAACAAUCACAUUUGAAAAAGAGAGUCACUACUGGUUUGAGGAAGCGAUUUUCAUUGAGAUUGCGACCAAGA
rnacentral:misc_RNA from 1 species